ensembl:lincRNA
UCUUGAACAAAUUGUUGCACCUUGCUUAGAAAAAAAAAUCUGUACUUGAAUGCUACCUCCCUGAACCCAACCCUUUCUGGACAUGUUAUUGAUUCAUUAAGGACUUGGAUUACAUAGACACUCAACAUUUAAUUGCAUUGCUAUCAAUCAUGUAUCUAACAAAAUAAUAUAUAAGGUUGUUUAGGUUUCUAACUGUGUAAUUAUACUGUUCUAUGUAUGUAGAGUUUAUAAAACCGUUCACAUGUUACAGUAGCUGUGUUCAUCAAAGCUCUGGAAUUGGCAGCUCCUUUCCAUAUAUGGGAACUUGAUCAAGUCCUUUUGCUGCCUUCCUCAUACAUUUCUUAAGAGCUUGAAAUUAUCAAUGUUUGCAGUUUAUAGCACAAUAGCAAUAAGAAGUAAGUGCUUAUCAAAUGUCAGUGUAGUUUUCAAUAUCAUCAUGUUUGUCAUCAAUGUAUUUUUUCUUCCUAAGAGCCUGGUGGAGUCUUCGGAGCAGAUGUGACUGUCCUACUUGUAUAGAGAAGAGAAACUGAGGCUCAGAAGAGACGCCUGGCUGAGUUUAACAGGACCGCAACAACAAUUUUGCCUUUGUACUUUCUGGUACAGUGGUCUUUCCUUUGCCAUCAUGCCUCAGCAUAUCCAUACCGUUUGCAAAGAAUUUUCCUAAACAUCGCCACUGAGGCUCCUUCCAGCAAUGACUCUGGUCCAUCAUUGGGAUUGCUGAGCAGCUGUUUCAUAACAUGAACAAGGAUGUUUUAACCAUGUUUCUUGACCUGGCCAUUUGGAUCCCAAGGAUGUUUUGGUCCAAGAAUAAAUUCCAGAGCUUAGCUCACCUAAGAAGACAGGAAAACUUGUCAGAUGGGGAAGGAUGUGUCAAGAGCAUGCACACAGAUUUACUCUUCAGCUAG